CUACUUCUCGAUAUCUGAUGCAGGA
rnacentral:piRNA from 1 species